rnacentral:rRNA from 1 species
GAUGAACGCUGGCGGCGUGCCUAAUACAUGCAAGUCGAGCGAACAGAUGAGGAGCUUGCUCCUCUGACGUUAGCGGCGGACGGGUGAGUAACACGUGGAUAACCUACCUAUAAGACUGGGAUAACUUCGGGAAACCGGAGCUAAUACCGGAUAAUAUAUUGAACCGCAUGGUUCAAUAGUGAAAGACGGUUUUGCUGUCACUUAUAGAUGGAUCCGCGCCGCAUUAGCUAGUUGGUAAGGUAACGGCUUACCAAGGCAACGAUGCGUAGCCGACCUGAGAGGGUGAUCGGCCACACUGGAACUGAGACACGGUCCAGACUCCUACGGGAGGCAGCAGUAGGGAAUCUUCCGCAAUGGGCGAAGGCCUGACGGAGCAACGCCGCGUGAGUGAUGAAGGUCUUCGGAUCGUAAAACUCUGUUAUUAGGGAAGAACAAAUGUGUAAGUAACUAUGCACGUCUUGACGGUGCCUAAUCAGAAAGCCACGGCUAACUACGUG